UGUUGUCACAAUCUGUGGCACGGUUUCGCGACAGACAGCUGCCAAAGAGCACGUCAAAUAGGGUUUAUUUUGAUUAUAUUACGGAAUGAUAAUAAACGAACGAUUAUAUGAUUGUUAUACACGAGUCUUAAGAGGUGUUGUACAAUAACUAGCACGAAGUUGUUGAUAGUUCCCGAGUUAGAUAAGUCGUGCGUGGUAUUUAAAAUAUUUGAUCCUCGUGCAAAUUCUUGAAUGAAUUGAUUUAUGAAGUGACAUUGACGUGUGAUCGCGCGGGAACUUUGAGUUCAGUUUUGCGUUGAUCGCGGGUGAUAUAGGUGCGUUGUCGAAGGAUAUUUGUGUUGGUGUUUUAUCGAAGUUAUGUUAAGUGAAAGUAAAGUGUGCAAUGCGGUUAUGUGGCUUUGGUGACGUUGUUAUUGCCAAUAUAUGUGCAUGCCCUUGCGAGGUUGGCAAGAUCCCAUACAUGCGAACAAUUCCAUGUGUGCUUCCGGACUAACGGAGUAACUAUUAACUAAUUGUUUUUGUUAAGAUAUAAGGUCUAAACACCAAGAUGCCGUUUACAAUGAAAGAAGGGGGUUUCGGGGUGGGUGACUAUGUGGUCUUCGGGGUGCUGUGCGCCGUAUCAUGUGCUGGUGGUCUGUGGUACAGUGCCAUUGGCUCCAAAGCUAAGAAGGUGGUAGACGUCAAGGACUACCUCCUUGGUGGACGAGCACUGUCCACAUUUCCAGUUGCUAUGUCGCUGAUUGCCAGUUACGUCUCCGGGGUGACAAUACUGGGGACCCCGGCUGAGAUAUACAACUACGGCACUCAGUACUGGCUGGUGGUGAUAGGAGUGACUCUCAGCUGUAUAGCAGUAGUCACCAUAUACUUGCCAGUGUUCUGUACACUGAGGCUAUCUUCUUCUUAUGAGUACCUAGAGUUAAGGUUUAACAAGAACGUUCGGGCAGCUGCCUCGGUAUUGUUCCUACUCGACGAGGUACUAUUCCUGCCAAUGGUUGUAUACGUUCCCGCAUUAGCGUUUAAUCAACUGACGGGUUUCAGUGUAUUUGCCGUAGCUGGUACUAUGGUCACAAUAUGUGGCCUGUAUACAGUAUUAGGUGGAUUAAAAGCCGUGGUGUGGACGGAUUCAGUGCAGACGGGAGUGAUGUUCAUAGGCGUGAUCCUAGUGGCUGCCGCCGGGACGAUCGCCGUCGGCGGCGUCUGGGAGGUCAUCGACAUUGUCAACGAAACCGGACGAUUUGAAUUAUCCAACUGGAGUUUCUCUCCAUACGAGCGUCAGACAGGGUGGGGAGCUGUGGUCGGUGGAUUCCUGUACUGGACCUGCUUCAAUUCCGUCAACCAGACCAUGGUGCAACGAUACAUCUCCCUACCUACUAAGAGGAAAGCUAUCACGGCCAUAUUCAUCUUCUGCUUGGGUGCAAUCCUGGCGAUCUCUCUAUGUGUAUGGUGCGGUCUAGCGGCCUGGGCGACAUGGGUGCAAGGAGGAUGCGACCCUGGCGGCGUGCCCCUGGUCGAUGAUAGGCUUUUACCGGCCUUUGUGACGUACGUGUCCAGAGCUAAGCACUUACCUGGAUUGUCUGGGGUUUUCUUGGCUGGAGUCUUUGGAGCUGGACUGAGUUCACUUUCAGCAGUGUUGAAUGCGUGUGCGCUGGUGGUGAUUGAGGACAUCAUCCACGGGUGGCUGAAGCUCCAACUGAAGCCGUUCACUGAGGGUAUGCUGGCCAGAGCCAUCACCGCCAGUUUGGCUGUCGUAUCUGUUGUGAUGCUGCUCGUUAUUGAGAAACUUGGAGGUGUUCUUGGUGUAGCAACAGCUUUAUCAGCUAUUGCCGCGAGUGCAACAUGCGGAGUUUUCACCCUUGGCAUGGUCUGCUGGUGGGUGGGCCCCCGAGGGGCGCUCUCAGGGGCCCUUGCCGGGGCCCUACUGGCUGGUACAGUGUCGCUUGGGACCCAGGCUGCAGCUGCCAAUGGUUUGAGGGCCCCACCGUUGAAUAUAACUUCGGAUUGUGCGCGAAAUGCUUCCUAUGUGGAUUCUUUUGCUGAUGCUCUUGACCCAGAAUCCGUGUUCCCACUAUUCAGAAUAUCAUACCACUGGAUAGCACCCCUUGGGCUGGUAGCCACACUCACAGUCGGCAUGAUCGUGGGCUGGCUAUUCGACAAGAAGGAAACUUUAAAGAUGGAUGCCGAGUUAUUCACGCCAGGCAUGUGGCGCUUCUUGCCACAAGAAGCUAUAGAACGAGCUGGGGACACAAGAAGGGCGAUUGUAGAACGAGAAGCCGCCCCUGCUCAUGCAGCCCCGCUUAUCCUUGCUACUAUUGAUAAGAUACAUAAGGAAAGUUAAUUGGCAUGUUAAGGCGAUACGUAGGCAUUAUUCCCUUAGUGCGUAAAUUGGAUUGAAAUAAAUGGCGAGCCAAGCAGGUGAGACGAGCGGACAUACAAUUAUUUUUAGGUAUUUUUAUUCAUUGUGACCAAGAUUUUAAUUGUCUAGUCACGCAGUGAUUUUAGAAAAGUAUUGCUAUUAGAAAAAAAGAUAUUAUGGAAAAUAUGUUCUAGAAAAAUCGGUGGUGAAUGGGCAUUAAUAGAUUGGUUUAAUACAAAUGCCUUUGAAGUGAAAAAAUAAUAGGAAAAAUGGUAUUUGUUUAGCCUUUAAUUAAAUGAAACCAUUCCGUUGGUGAAAUGUUGGAAAUGGUAUUAGAAUGUGGAAUAAAAAAGUGUAAUGUGACUUGUGGAAGAUAUAAUGGGACCAAGAGACUUGUUACGUAUUUAAUAAGGUGUUUUUGUUUGGUGAAUAUAUGCGCUGUUUGCGGCCAUUUAAUAAACAAUGUACUUACGUAAAAAUAUAAUCAGUAGAACUAAACUUGUAGUUGCUGAUUCAGAUUAUCUCACAGAGGAAAAAUUCUUUAGGUAAUUGGAUAUUGGAAUGGAAUGGAAUUCGUCACCUAGUUCAAUUCUAAGGAAAACUUAAAAAUUGUAAUUAACAAAUUGUAUUGUGGCCUGUGUACCCUUAGUACGAGUUUGUUUUACGUUGAACGAAAACGAAACGAGAGCGUGUUGCGCUCACUAAUUGGUCGACGCUACAGAACCAACCAAUCAUAACGCUAGAUCUCUUCUCUGUUUUCAUUUGAAGGUUCCUGAAUCAGCAACUGACCAUGGUGAUAUGAAGCUUCGCAAAUUUGUGACAAUACUGCUUCAAAUGAUCAUUUCAAUAAAAUAUGUAAAUAAACAUUUUUUUUUUAUAAACUGUCUAUUUAUAGUGCCAAUUUGUUUAUAAUAGAUAAUAAUAAUUACCUAUUUAUUAAUAAUAAGCGUAGAAUUAUCACGUGUUACUAAUAAAGUUAUACAUAUACUAAGUAUUAUAAGCCCUUAGUAUGAGUUUGUUUUUACGUUUAAAGUAAUCGAAACAAGAGCGCGUUCGGCAUUCUGAUUGGUUUGUUCUAUUCGAGCCGACCAAUCAGAGUGCCGACGAUACAGAUCUAUUAUUGUUGUCAUAGUAAAAAAUUAAAUGGAAUUGAAUCAUCCAUUAUACAAAACAUAACCAUUACAAUAUGUACUUAAAAACAAAAUGUAGCAGUAUUUUAGUAUUUUAAGUGAAAAAUAUAUAAUAUUCUAUGGAAUCAGAUUUUUAUAUAUUAAAAGAAAUAUACUAUUCUCAAAUAAAUCUGUACAUUAUUUACUUAAGGUUCUUUAGAUAUUUAAAUCAAUAAAGUAAAAAAUUAUUGUACUUACAUAUUAAUGAAAUCAUAUUACUUACAGACGUUCGACUCCCUUAAAUGUUGAAUACUUACAAUUUUUAAAUACAGUCGAUUAUCGUUAAUUCAAAUUUCAAACCUUCGAUGAUUCGAACCUCUCUAUAUUUCAAAGUUAUCACGAGGUCCCUAGAAAAUCUCUUUACAUUUCCAUCUAAAUCAAUACAUUUUUCAUACUACCUCAUGCUACCUUGUAAAGUGACUCCUUAAUUCGAAUUUAUUAACAUCAAACUCUCGACAAUUUGAAGUUGCAGGGAGGGAGGGAUUAUCAGUCAGUCAGAUCAGUAUCUAUAUUUUGAGGCAAGCCCUAUUUUCGGACUGUUUGAUAAUUCGACCAUUCAGUAAAAUAAUUAUUUUAAGAUUCCCUCCAGUUUCGAAUUAACGAGAGUCGACUGUACAUCAAAGCUGUAUCUACUAAAUACAUAGUAUAAAUGGGUUAAGGUAUUUAAAUAUUUAAAUUAAAUAUAUUACAAAUCUACAUGCUCGAAUGAAUUGCAGCAUUGCAAUGAAUACAGAUCUUUUUCUAGCAAACUUUUUACCUUAUAGUUGAGCCAUUACUUAUGUGCAAACUGUUAAGUAAAAUGAGAACAACCUCCUUUUUGUGAAGUCGGUUAAAUAAUAUGUUUAUCCCGCACAAAUUACAUAAGUGUGAGCGAGAGAUCUGAUAAAAAUGACUUAUGACAAUACGCACGUUUGUAAUGGUCGAACUAUAGUAAUUUAUGUUUCAAACUAUAGUUUUAACAGCAUUCGUUUAAUUUUAAAGUAUCUAUUUAUAAGUAGUAAUAAAUAAUAAUCUAAGUUAUAUUUAAAUUCUGUAUUUUCGCGACAUCUAUAGACUUAUGAGAAACGCACAAUUUUUUUUUUGAUAUCUAAUCAUGUAAAUGAGCACUUAUAUACUUACAUCUUUGUUAUUUCAAAUAAAUAAAUAAUAUAUGAAAACUAAAAAUGAUGACGGUGUAUGAAAAUUAAAAUCUGUUUGGCCGUCGGUUAGGUGCUGAUAAAUAUAAUAUUAGCAGCGUGAAAGCACCAUAAUAUAGGAGGAAACCUUUUCAAGGAAUAUUGUAAUGUUUUUAUGUUACAAGAAAGUGUUCUUUAGUUUUGUGAUGUUAUAAAAUUAGUAUUAGCAUUUAGCAGAAUUAACUUAAUAUCCUUAAGUUUUGUGUAAUGUAGGAAGUAUUUGGAAUUUCCAAAACACAAUCUUUUAACGUGCAAAUAAUUAUUAUACAUAGAUUGUACUUAUAAUAUUGAAUGUUAUACAAACUACAGGAUAAUGUACUUACUUCAGUUUUUUUUACUAGUUAUGGUAUACCUAAGUAUUUAAAGUGCCAAGUAUAAUAUUUUUGCCAAGCAAUUUGUUUCUUAUCGUCAAAAAUAGAGUUUUUUUUAUACAUUUUUUUCUUAUAAAUGGAUACAGGGCAUAUCUACAGUGUAAAGGAAAUGUUUUAAUGUGUAUACAAUUUAUUUAUAACUAGUUAUUUGUAAAAUUUUUAUAAAUGUACACAUUUAAUAUAAAACUAUUUAAAGCGACGCUUUCUAAACAAAAAACGUUAAGGCCCUAAUAUAAAAUGUACCUGAAAUUAAUUCAGAUAAUAGGUAUUACAAAUUAUAUUAUAUUUUGUUACAAAAACAUAUUACUUUAGAACGUGUAAUAUUUACGUAUACAACAAUUAUAAUGUUACAAAAUAAAUCUUAUUACAACAAA